CGUAGGGUGCGAGCGUUAAUCGGAAUUACUGGGCGUAAAGCGUGCGCAGGCGGUUUUGUAAGCCAGAUGUGAAAUCCCCGGGCUCAACCUGGGAAUGGCAUUUGGGACUGCAAGGCUUGAGUGCGGCAGAGGAGACUGGAAUUCCUGGUGUAGCAGUGAAAUGCGUAGAUAUCAGGAGGAAUACCGAUGGCGAAGGCAGGUCUCUGGGCUGACACUGACGCUCAUGCACGAAAGCGUGGGGAGCAAACAGGAUUAGAUACCCUGGUAGUCCACGCCCUAAACGAUGUCGACUGGUUGUUGGGGGUUUGACACUCUCAGUAACGAAGCUAACGCGUGAAGUCGACCGCCUGGGGGAGUACGGCCGCAAGGUUA
rnacentral:rRNA from 1 species